rnacentral:rRNA from 1 species
UACAGAGGAUGCAAGCGUUAUCCGGAAUGAUUGGGCGUAAAGCGUCUGUAGGUGGCUUUUUAAGUCCGCCGUCAAAUCCCAGGGCUCAACUCUGGACAGGCGGUGGAAACUACCAAGCUGGAGUACGGUAGGGGCAGAGGGAAUUUCCGGUGGAGCGGUGGGAUGCGUAGAGAUCGGAAAGAACACCAACGGCGAGAGCACUCUGCUGGGCCGACACUGACACUGAGAGACGAAAGCUAGGGGAGCGAAUGGG